CCCUUAGAUGUUCUGGGCCGCACGCGCGCUACACUGAUUCAUGCAACAAGUUUUGUCCUUGGCUGAUAGGCCUGGGUAAUCUUUGAACGUGAAUCGUGAUGGGGAUAGAUGAUUGCAAUUAUUCAUCUUCAACGAGGAAUUCCUAGUAAACGCAAGUCAUCAGCUUGCAUUGAUUACGCCCCUGCCCUUUGUACACACCGCCCGUCGCACCUACCGAUUGAAUGGUCCGGUGAAAUCUUCGGAUCUGAGAGAUGUCUGAUUAAUUUCGGACGCCUUUUGGAAAAGUUGUUUAAACCUUACCAUUUAGAGGAAGGUGAAGUCGUAACA
rnacentral:rRNA from 1 species